AUAAUUGCCACGCCCUUGGUUCCUUGCAUUAAAACUUUAAGAGCUCCAUUAAGAGACUGCCUCAGACUGGCCAGUAGGGAAGGUCUGUAGUAGGAGCUGUGCAUCUGAUAAUACGUUUGCUGGGAGAAAGCAAUAAGGGAGUGGCUGCUAGGAUCAAAAUGGUUGCCAGUUGUGAGGGUGAAAGUUCUAAAGCUGUUGUAGUUCCUCCCGUUCAGGAGUAGCCUUGACCCGGGGUACUGGCAGGAGUUAGGGAAGAGGAAACUCGAAGAGUAUCAGCUAAGAGAGGACCCGGUCCCUAUCAGGGGCAGCUAUGAUUGAGAACUACAGGAACAUUAGCACUCCUUUCCUAUUCCUGGAUUAUACUGCUUUUGAUGUGGGAUACCAGCCUACUGGACUAGACUUCCCAUCUCCUGGUCUCCUACGAAACAUGAACACAAUUGCCUCCUUCAACAACAUUGACAAGGAGUUACUUGAUACCUGUGGUCGUCUCAUUUUGGAGAGUAUUAAAAAUGGUGAUUGCCUCAAAAACCCUUCACUCUUGACAUCGUUCCUGUUACUCACGUACGCCGACUUAAAGAAAUAUUGUUUCAUUAUUGGUUUGGAUUCCCUGCCCUCUCCCCCUCCAGUCCAUUCACUUAUAGAUCUAUUAGUCGUUUGGAUACUUUUUUAAAGACUCCGACCUCCAGCACUUGGUAUCUCAUUACAACGACUUUCAAUCGGAACACAAAAGUGUUGGGUUCUUCCUAGUUGACUGUUCCUAAAAUAACUGGCUGGGAAAGAAACAAAAGGUGAUGGUGAGGUAUUCAUUGGUCCUUAGAGGAGAGGUCAGCUAUUGAAUGAGGAGGAGUAGCUGUGACUAUUACCAUUACUGAUUAUACCAUCACCUCAUACAUGUAUGAUCAACCCUCCAGUGGAUCCUUAUAAGGUCAUGAUAAGGAUGGUUGCUAAUAUUUAUCUGAGAAGAUCUAUUAAUUUUGAUGUUGGCAGACAAUGGAACGAUGAAAAGAACCAGUGGGUCAGUCCUCUUGUCCUCCUCUUCUCACUCCCUCUCCUUAUGUUGGUGCCUCCAGUGAGUCCCUUAACUUGUCAAGUCUCAUCAGUUCAGCUAACAUUGGACCCACCUGAGGCUUAACCUCUAACAAGUACCUCUACUAGUAUAUACAUGUAUAAACAUGACUUUAACAUCUAAAUGAUAUACAUGUACAUGUACAUUUACAUGUAGAUAUA